AUUUAUUUCCCGACAGUAGGGCAUUUGAUUGAAAAUUUGCUCAAAAAAUCAAAUGCCUCACCUAUGCCCGACCCCCCCCCCUCUCCCUCUGGGGCUUAACAUUGAUAGGUGCAUUAUAAGGAUACAUUGCUCAUUCAGAGAGAUAUUCACUGAGAAAACUUGUAAGAAAACAGGCCAUCCUGGAAAUGAGGUUUAUGUCUGUUUAUAAAACGAGACCUCAAGAGUCAACUGUUUUAAACAUUAUUACACUAGACA